rnacentral:rRNA from 1 species
UCAAAAACAUCGCUGAGGACUAUCCUCAGUAAAGUCUGCCCAGUGAUACGUUCAACGGCCGCAGUAUCCUAACUGUGCUAAGGUAGCAUAAUCAUUAGCUUUUUAAUUGAAAUCCGGUAUGAAGGACUCGACGAGAAAAUUACUGUCUCUAAGCUCCUGUAAACUUACUUUCAAAGUCAAAAAGCUUUCUCUCCCCGAAAGGACGACAAGACCCUACAAAACUUUAUCCGACGCCCGACCCUACUCUCAGAACGCCUUAUUCUCGGCCCACGGAUUUUACUGGGGCGGUAACCCUUAACCCAAACAAGACCAACCCUAACACCCUGAGUGAUUUUCACAACCUCCUUAGAAAGAAAGCAAGUUACUUUAGGGAUAACAGCGCAAUGUUCCUCAAGAGCCCAUAUCGCCAGGAACGCUUACGACCUCGAUGUUGAAUUGAAGUCCCUUCGCAAAGCAGCUAUUGCGCCAGGAAGUCUGUUCGACUUUUAAACCUUCACAUGAUCUGAGU